AAGUCGUAACAAGGUUUCCGUAGGUGAACCUGCGGAAGGAUCAUUAUCGAAUCCAAAGGGAUGUUGCUGGCCUUUCAGGCCGUGCACUCCCGCCUUUAUAUCCACCUGUGCACUUACUGUAGACUAGGAUUGAUUUCCAAGUCUAUGUCUUCAUAUACCCUUAAUUAUUGAAGUCAAUGGGAUGUAUUUAGGCUUCGGCCAAAAAAAACAAUACAACUUUCAACAAUGGAUCUCUUGGUUCUCGCAUCGAUGAAGAACGCAGCGAAUUGCGAUAUGUAAUGUGAAUUGCAGAAUUCAGUGAAUCAUCGAAUCUUUGAACGCACCUUGCGCCCUUUGGUAUUCCGAAGGGCAUGCCUGUUUGAGUGUCAUUAAAUUCUCAACUUCAAAGGUUUAUUCUUUUUGAAGCUUGGAUGUUGGAGGACUUGCAGGCAUAUAUAUUCAAAUGUCAGCUCCUCUUGAAUGCAUUAGCAGAACUUGUACUGUUCGGCUCUGGUUUGAUAAUACUAUCUAUGCCAUUGCUGAAAGGUCAAUUUGUUCAGCUUCUAAUGGUCCAUUGUGGACUGUCUCUUUGGAGGCAUUAUCUUUUGACUUGACCUCAAAUCAGGUAGGACUACCCGCAUGAACUUAA
rnacentral:rRNA from 1 species